CAACCAACCAAUACAUCAACCAACCAAUACAUCAACCAACCAAUACACCAACGAUCCAAUACAUCAAUCAACCAAUCCAUCAAUCAGUCAAUACAUCAACCAGUCAAUACAUCAAUUAGUCACUACAUCAAUCCAUCAACCAAUCAAUACAUCAACCAGUCAAUAAAUCAAUCAAUCCAUAAUCACAGCAUCAGGUAUCAUCAUCUGGCCCCCAGGAGAGUAGUUCUACCUGAGUGGAUAUUGCUGGGUAGUGUUAUAGUAGUAGAGGAUGCUGGGAAGUGGGACAGCAGUAGAGGAUGCUGGGUAUUGUAGAGCUAUAGCAGAAGAGGAUGUUGGGUAGUGUAAUGGUAUAGCAGUAGAGGAUGCUGGAUAGUGGUAUAGCAGUAGAGGAUGCUGGGUAGUGGUAUUGCUGUAGAGGAUGCUGGGUAAAGGUAUAACAGUAGAGGAUGCUGGGUAGUGUAGUGGUAGAGCAGUAGAGGAUGCUGGGUAGUGGUACAGGAGUAGAGGAUUCUGGGUAGUGGUAUAGCAGUAGAGGAUGCUGGGUAGUGGUAUAGGAUUAGAGAAUUCUGGGUAGUGUAGUGGUAGAGCAGUAGAGAAUGCUGGGUAGUGUAGUGGUAUAGCGGUAGAGGAUGCUGGGUAGUGUAGUGGUAGAGCAGUAGAGUUUGCUGGGAAGUGUAGCGGUAUAGCAGUAGAGGAUGCCUGGUAGUGUCGUGGUAUGGCAGUAGAGUUUGCUGGGAAGUGUAGUGGUAUAGCAGUAGAGGAUGCCUGGUAGUGUAGUGGUAUGGCAGUAGAGGUUGCUGGGUAGUGAAGUGCUAUAGUGGUAAGGGAUGUUGGCUAGUGUAGUUGUAUAGCAGUAGAGGAUGCUGGGUAGUGCAGUGGUAUUGCAAUAGAGGAUGCUGGGUAGUCGUAGAGCAGUAGAGGAUGCUUGGUAGUGUAGUGGUAUAGCCGUUGAGGAUGCUGGGUAGUGGUAGAGCAGUAGAGGAUGCUGGGUAGUGUAGAGGUAUAGCAGUAGAGGAUGCUGGGUAGUGUAGUGGUAGAGGAUGCUGGGUAGUGUAGUUGUAUAGCGGUAGAGGAUGCUGGGUAGUGUAGUGGUAUAUCGGUAGAGGAUGCUGGGUAGUGUAGUGGUAUAACGGUAAAGGAUGCUGGGUAGUGUAGUGGUAUAGCAGUAGAGGAUGCUGGGUAGUGUAAUGGUAUAGCAGUAGAGGAUGCUGGGUAGUGUAGUGGUAGAGGAUGCUGGGUAGUGUAAUGGUAUAGCAGUAGAAAAUGCUGGGUAGUGUAGUUCUACCUUAACCAGUAUGUAUGAGUGGAGGAUCAUGAGGUUGGUGUUCAUCUCAGCAGGGAUUCUGAUCUUCUGUGUCUGCAGCUCAGUGUACAUGCUGAACAGCAUGUCAUGGGCGUUUUCUACAUUGUUGAAUAAUAGUGAAGACAUC
rnacentral:lncRNA from 1 species